rnacentral:lncRNA from 1 species
GUCACACUGUGACUGAUUAAACCACUGCACUUCCCUCCCCCAGGGUCACUGGGUUGGGCCAACUCAGUGCCUAAUAUGUAGCUACUGUCAGCAUUAAGGUUGCACUGAAGAUGCUACAGAUAGUUUCCAGUCUCCUCCGUGCUUCUGCAGGAGUCUUGUGCAAUGUCCAAAAGCAUCUGAACCUUGUGGGAGCCCAAGUGCCUGUGACUAGAAUCUUUGUGUUUGAAGGGAUCCCUGUGAAGACAGCAGGCUGGUCUCAUUGUGGGACACUGAUCCUAUUCUACCUGGAAUGCUGAGCCACUUGCUCCUUUCACUGGCCACGGAGACAUCUGGAGAACUAGCUUCGAC